ACAGUUGUGGCAUAGCGGUUUGAGUGUCGGACUACAACUCUGGAGAUCAGGGUUCGAUUCCCAGCUCAGCCAUG